rnacentral:rRNA from 1 species
UAGCGGCAGACGGGUGAGUAACACGUGGGAACGUACCCUUUGGUUCGGAACAACACAGGGAAACUUGUGCUAAUACCGGAUAAGCCCUUACGGGGAAAGAUUUAUCGCCGAAGGAUCGGCCCGCGUCUGAUUAGCUAGUUGGUGGGGUAACGGCCCACCAAGGCGACGAUCAGUAGCUGGUCUGAGAGGAUGAUCAGCCACACUGGGACUGAGACACGGCCCAG